rnacentral:rRNA from 1 species
GACGAACGCUGGCGGCGUGCUUAACACAUGCAAGUCGAGCGGUAAGGCCCUUUCGGGGGUACACGAGCGGCGAACGGGUGAGUAACACGUGGGUGACCUGCCUCUAGCUCUGGGAUAAGCCUGGGAAGCUGGGUCUAAUACCGGAUAUGACCUCGCGGUGCAUGUUGCGGGGUGGAAAGCCUUGUGCGGCUAGGGAUGGGCCCGCGGCCUAUCAGCUUGUUGGUGGGGUGANGGCCUACCAAGGCGACGACGGGUAGCCGGCCUGAGAGGGCGACCGGCCACACUGGGACUGAGACACGGCCCAGACUCCUACGGGAGGCAGCAGUGGGGGAUCUUGCGCAAUGGGCGAAAGCCUGACGCAGCGACGCCGCGUGAGGGAUGACGGCCUCGG